rnacentral:rRNA from 1 species
GACGAACGCUGGCGGCGUGCUUAACACAUGCAAGUCGAACGAAGUGGCGAACGGGUGAGUAAUACGUGGGUAACCUGCCCUCCUUUGUGGGAUAAGCCUUGGCAACGGGGUCUACUACCGAAUAAAGGGGGAUGGGCUCGCGGCCUAUCAGCUUGGUGGUGGGGUGAUGGCCUACCCAGGCGGGUACGGGUAGCCGGCCUGAGAGGGUGGCGGGCAUCAUUAGGACAGAGAUACUGGCCAGACUGCUACGGGGUGCAGCAGUGGGGGAUCUGACAUAAUGGGCGAAAGCCUGAUGCAGCGACGCCGCGAGGGGGAUGAAUGCUAGCGAGUAGUAAACCUCUUUCGCUAGCGAACGGGUAGGAGGAGAGAAAGCGCCGGCGAACUACGCGCCAGACGCCGCGGAAAUUC